rnacentral:lncRNA from 1 species
GAAUCUCACAACAUAUGUUUGGAUAGCACUUCCCAGCCUACAACGCACUUUCUCAGGGAUUCUCAAACUUCCUCCCACCUCACAUCCUUUUAAGGCAAGUGAGUGUGGGAACUCUGGUUCAGGGAAGUUAAAUCACUUGCCUAAGGUCAUGCAGAUCAUUAAUGCCAUAGCCAAGACCUGAGCACGUUCUCCUAAAGCCAGGUCAGGCCUCUUGUCACAUACUCCAUUGACUCUAGUGCCUAACCCAUGCUCAUCACAGAGCUCACAUUGGAACCAUUGUUAAACAGACUCUAAUGGAAAUGACUUCGUUCAGCUGGUGAACAUUUUGGAAGAUUCCAGAAAAACAUGAACAAGUGUUUGAGUGCUCUUAAGGGGAUUGUCUAAUAUCUUGGCUCCUGACUCAUCCUUAGAAGUCUUCCAGCCACCUUGUACCCAUUUCAAGCCCAAGGGCUCUUUAACGUAAAUGAGUUACUGAGCAGAAAAGAACAGAGAAAGAUCCAGUGCAAAAACUCAUAGGAAAUGAUCAAUUCAUGCCAAGUGAUGAGAACUAGAGAAGAGAGAUGAGAGCAUUGUUCAUACACGAUGGUCUAGGUCUCCUACCCCAAGAGAACUUGCAACAAAGCCCAAAGUACAACAGCCACGUUUAAAGAGAAGAUUCCAUUUCAGCCAGACAACAUGAUUCAUCAUAUUUAUUUAAUAUUGUUAAUUUGAAUUUUAUUAGAUCUGUACUGAUGUUUGUAUUUAAUUUCUAAUUUGUUUUGGUUUCAUAAUUCACUAAAACAAUAAGCACAAAGAGUUUCUAUCUGACUUUAUAUAUUAACAUUUUAAUAAAAGUCUUUUAUAUACUCA